ensembl:lncRNA
CUCCUCUACCCCUGCGUGGGUUAUGAGUCUCGGCCCCAGUGUGCUGGUUCCUGUCAAUAAACCUCAUGCGAUUGCAGCAAGGACAGUCUCUCAGACUUUCUUCAAACCUUACAACUAACCGCUGUUCAACUACACAUCUCAUCACCACAACAACUGUUAAAAACGUCAGCAUGUGGGUAGAGCUCUAGAAGCUGGAAUGAAAGAAUUUAUACAUGUUGUACUUCUGUGUGCCCAUGUGCUCACCUUGAGGCCAGCAUCACCAGUUCUGCCAAACCUUUGCCUACUGACCUGCAGCUCUCUCUACAUGAUUGCAAAUGUUGUUUCAAACGGUAAAGUCUUAAGAGCCAGUGACUGAUGUGUUUGGUCCCUGCUGAAUGCUUCCCGCUAAGUGCAACACAGACAUUAAAAGGCCUGGGCUAUGUUGAUGAGCAGGGAGGGAAGAUUUGUCAAAGGGACAUUGAUCUCUGUCUUGAUUCUCCACUUCCAGCAGUGCUUCUCUCCCAGGAUCCUGGCGACUUUCCCAGGAUGCUCAGCGAAGGUCUUUUCUCCAAACUUUUCCUUUCAUAAGUAACUGUAUGAACUGGACUGAACAGAAGUUUGAAGGCUGACAUGUUUUCAACAGCCCUCCUUUAAAGACUAGCUUAAAUGUCAUUUGUGUUUUCUGUGAAGACUCUACUGACUUCCUGAAUCAGUCACUUCCUCCUGUGGGAGACCACACUUCGUUGACACUCUAGCAUAGUACAAUGAUGCAGCUGUUUAUAAUUGCACACAUACACAAACUGCCUAUUUGUAUAUGUAUACUGCUAACGCCAUUGGAAGGUCUGCCUAACAGGAUAUAAGUAUAAAUUAUAACAAAUGUUUCUGUUAGUUUUAUUUAAAUAGGAGGAUUCCUGGAUAUUUAACAGCUCAUGCAGUAGUAGUUUAGGAAUUAGAGAGUCAAACAUUGGGAAUACCAAUUAAGAAUAUUUUAGAUAACAAGCAGCUUUCAAGUCUGAUAACACUGGGUGUGGUGACUCUAGAGCAGUUCAUCCCAGCCAUUGGAAUGUUGAAGCAGGAGGGAUGCUCUGAGUGGAGGCCAGCCUGAGCUACAUAGUGAGCUCCAGGCCUGCCUGAGAUACAGAGUCAGACUGAGAACUCUGCUUCUGGCAUUUCACUCUGCUAUCUCUCCUGAGAACUGGACGAUCAGUUUUGGGUAUGUUCACAAUGCACAGAACAUUACCAACCUUCCAUUUUUGUUUCUUCUAAUUAGUCUCCGACUGUGCUACCUUACACCCCUGACUCUCAUUUCUGCCCUGAUACCGUAAAUACCGUGACAUUCUAGUCAUUUUAAUUGUGAAACACAGGCAUGUCUAUUUUUAAAGAGAUGAGGGAAGUAGAGCACAGCACCCAUUGCUCUUUUUCAGUCUUCUUAUUGUAAAAUUGGGGGCAGGGAAGAGAGGCACUCAUCAGAGUUUGUCAUAUGAAAACAUCCAUGCUGGUCUGAGGUAUGAAUGACACUUUCAUCUUUCAGUACUUCAUUCAUUUCUGAUGGUUCGUUCCUAUGCGGUUGGUCUCUAUAAAAACAGAGAGCUCAGUUUCUUGGAGAGAUGUUCACUUCUCAAAGUGGUCUCACUCCAGCCCUGCCUUCCCCACAGUCCUACUGCAGUGCUUUUCCAGGUGGGGGAAUCCCUCUCUUGGCCCUGUGGCUUCAUGAACUGCUCUAGAGAUUUUGCACCCUGCCCUAAACAUUGCAUGCAUUCCCAGGGAGCCUUAGAAAUGAUUACUUCUCUUCAAAGUGUUCUCCUUUUUCCCAAUAAGCUUCAUUGCAUAUUUAAAGGUAGAUAACACAAAGUGUUGAUGACUUGAAGCCCUAAAAGGGAGCUAUGCUAGUGAGUUCCUGCAUUCAGAAUAUCUAAACCAGGUAUCUGAAACCAUGCCGACAAUCUUGCCUUCUCCUGCAUCUGUUGUGAAGCCCUCCUAAGAAUCUCUUACUGUGUUCCAUCCGGAGCUCUGCAGUGAGCCUGGAGAUCUUAAAGAUGAACAGUGAGUAAGAAGACAGAGGCACCUUUUGUUGGCAUCCCUACCUGCUAAGAUUCUCUUGAGUACACUCCUUGACUUGGCUUUCAGCCAUAUGUGCGUGUCUGUAGACACUGGUUCUCCUUCUAUCAGUCCAUGAUGCUCAAGAACUGAAUGACAAGGGGCCCUUCUAGUCAUGGCAUAGAAAAGCUUUGGAGGGACUGUUGUCAAUGAACAGAGCCAGAAGCAAAUACAAUCAACAACCAGCUAAAGGUGUAAUGAGUUUAAAACGAAAGAAGAAAGUGAGGGAGCCCAUAAUUUCAUCCUGUCCCUCUGGAAUGAUGGUGUGUCCUAGAAUAGGGGAUGCUUUAUAUGACAGUCACGGGGAUUUUAGGUCAUGCAUUGAGGUGGACAAUGAAUGGCUAUUAAGGGCAUUUAGGAUAAACCAGAAAAAUUUGGCUGAGUCUAAAAUAUCCCAGCCCUGCACAACCAAGAAGUUCUGAGACUGGUGGAGGUCAGGUCUGUCAGCAGCUAAAGGUCAACCUCUGGUGCACAGCAUGUUUGAGGCACCCACCCCAGAGAAAACAGAACAUGGAAGUUAGUAAUAACUAAUACAGGAAGUCAUACAUAAAACACUUCAGAGGGCACAGGAGAGCCUUGUGAGAUGGCAGUCACCUGAGAGCCGGUAGAACCUCACCCCAGACUGUAAAGUUCCCAGAAUAAUCCUCACCUGAGCUCAAGAUUCGACGAGGCUGAUUUAACUGAAUGGACAUCUCUUUAUCUUUUAAUGUAUUUUUUAAAGACAUAGACUCAUGCAGCUCAGAAGGGCCUCAAACCUGCUGGGUACCAGAGGUUGACCAUAAGCUGCCAGUCCUCCCGCUGUCUCAUCCCAAGCGCUGGAAUGAUAGGUGUGAGCUCCACAUCCACCCUAGAACUUUGUGAUUGUGCAGAGAUGGAGAUGGGUCCUUUGAAAUACAAUCACCUCCUGAGGGGAAAGCCUUCAUUGUUGAGAUGGCUGGCAAGACUUCCGUCAUGUGAGCACAUCCCUACCAAGAGCCAACUAUGAAUCAGGAAGAAGCCCACUCCACACACUGGAUUUCCUGGCAUGUUGACCUUAGACUGUCUAGCCUCCAGGAGUAAGAGGCUACACUAACA